rnacentral:rRNA from 1 species
GUGGGGAAUAUUGGACAAUGGGCGCAAGCCUGAUCCAGCCAUGCCGCGUGAGUGAUGAAGGCCUUAGGGUUGUAAAGCUCUUUUGUCCGGGAAGAUAAUGACUGUACCGGAAGAAUAAGCCCCGGCUAACUUCGUGCCAGCAGCCGCGGUAAUACGAAGGGGGCUAGCGUUGUUCGGAAUCACUGGGCGUAAAGCGCACGUAGGCGGACCAUUAAGUCAGGGGUUAAAGCCUGGAGCUCAACUCCAGAACUGACUUUGAUACUGAUGGUCUCGAGUAUGGAAGAGGUUGGUGGAACUGCGAGUGUAGAGGUGAAAUGCGUAGAUAUUCGCAAGAACACCGGUGGCGAAGGCGGCCAACUGGUCCAUUACUGACGCUGAGGUGCGAAAGCGUGGGGAGCAAACAGGAUUAGAUACCCGGGUAGUCC